AGAGGGAAACAGCAUGGGCAAAGCCUAGUGUUUUGAGUUGAAUUCAUAUGCUAAUGUCCUGACCCCCAGUUCCUCAGGACAUGACCUUAUUUGGAAAUAGGACCGUAGCAGGUGUAAUUAGUUCAGAGGAAGGUGCACUGGAGCAGAGGGGACCCUGAUCCAACAUGACUGAGCACAGGAGUUCUCCAGCUCUAUGGGCUAAGGAUCUGGCAUUGCCUCUGCCCUGAUGGGGUUUGAUUCCUGGCCUGGGAACUUCUGCAUGCUCCAGGCAUAGCCAAGGAAAAAACCAAUAUGAUUGAGCACAGACACACAGAAAAGGCCACAUGAAGAUGAAGGCACAGGAGUUCCCACUGUGGUUCAGUGGGUUAAGGAUUCAGCUUUGCUGCAGCUGUGGCUCGAUUCUAUCCCUGGGAACGUCCAUAUGCUGUGAGUAUGGAAGGCGGGGUGGAAUAAAAGAAUGAAGGCAGAGAUAGUGCGUCCAGAAGCCAAAGAAGGCUAGCAAUGGCCAGCGAACCACGAGAAGCUGGGAAAGGUACAGAACAGGGUCUGCCUCCCAGCCCUCAGCAGGAACCAACCCGGCGACCACCUGGAUCUCACACUUCCAGACUCCGGACUGAGAGACAGAAAAUUGCUGUCGUUUAAGCCACCCAGUCUGUGGUACUUUAUGACAGCAGCCCCAGCAAACGUUUUCCCAGCAUGGAGAACGUGCAACCACAAGUUCGGAGAAGAGCGCAUGAUUCAGCAAGAAACGCUUGCGCUAGACUCCAUCUUGGGUAAAAGAUGCAUGCGCACACACAGGGCAAGGCCCUGAGUCGGGCCAAAUGUGGACUCAAGACCAGACAAAGCAAGAUGAUUGGCCGGAAGAAACGUGGAAGAACUGCCCCCAUGUAAGUGAUUCAAACCACCCCAAAGGGCAUGGCUCUCUCUGUCGCUGCACUCACACCACACGGCAGUUUCUGGGCCAGGGAUCAAAUCUGAGCCGAAGCCUCGACCUAUGUCACAGCUGUGGCAACGCUGAGAACCCCUGAGAUUCCUGAGGCGUCACCCCGCAGCGUCCCAGCACUUUUCUCUGCCGCAUCUCCCUUUCUCCUUCUUCCUGCUCCCUCCCCAACCCCCACCAUUCUUUGCGCAUUCCUGGAAGAUGAGGGAGUCUGAGUAGCAGGGGGGAAAUGUUUACCAGAUGCUGUAACAUUGUAGUUAAAAGUUGAGGCUGUCACGUCCAACAGACAUGGCCUUGAAACCUAGCUCUGCAAGGCGCUAAACUUGUGGUAACCUUGGGCAGGUCCCUUUAGCUCUUUGAGCUCCGGGUUCCUCGUCUGCAGGUUCCUCGUCUGCAGAAUGGGGAUAAUUAAUAGCACCCAACUCAUAAGGUCAGACAACUUAACGGAGAUAAUACAGGUAAAGGGUUUAACAUAAAGAUGCCCCUAAACAUGCCCUGGCACCAUCGCCACUACCAUCACCAUUAACGAGGGGCAAAUGACAGGCAAAUCCUUCUUUUAUCGGACCUACAAUAUAGUUUUCACUCAGUUUGAUAUUUUCACUAUACACUAAAGAAUAAGAUCUUUUUAAAAAUUGAUUUUUAAUUACGUGAGAAAUGCACAAAUACAUACUACUUAAAAGAAAAAAAAAACAACACUACUAUUAUAGGUAAGACUAAAGUCUCAUUGGACUGCCGGUCCCUUGGCUCCUCUAUCUCAGCCCCCCCAACCCAUCUCAUCCUUCCUCGUCAUUCUCCAAAGGUAAUCGCUAAUAUUUUGCUGCCUCUGCCUCAGGCGUUUUUUUCCCUGUGCUCUUGCAAGCACAUGUCCUUGUCCUUUGAAAUAAACGGAGUGGUUUGAGUGUGCCGUA
rnacentral:lncRNA from 1 species